UGGUUCCUUGCUCUGUUAUGGCCAUUUGGAAGCAGGAGAUCUCAGCAAGAGCGGGAUCUUACAACUCGCAAGAGGUGCACACAUGGUUUGUUAAGAAGUUGGCUAUGCCUGAAUUUCUUAGGGAUAAACAACAAGCUGCCCAGCUACUGAGCACAGUGUACGGUGCCGGGAAUUCAUCGCGCUCAGCAGGAGCAAAUUCACUAGUUGCUUCCACCAUGAAAGUGGCCUCACUGGAUGCCAAUCCUACUUUGGAAAAGAGCACAUCGCUGCACCCAAGUCUCCGCUACUUGCCCGCCCAGGUACCCAUGGAUUCUCUUACGGAAACACCAAGGGAGAAAGAAGAGACUCAAGAGAAGCCAGAACUGGACUUAAAGUCGGUAAUGGCCGAAUCUGCCAUUAGACGCCAUCAAGGGAUAACGCAACUGGAAGAUCAGAUGGCAAGUCUUUUUUCCCCAAGGCCACAGGGCCCCUGUUUGACAAAUGUGCCAACCCCAGAGCAAAUGGCCCUCUGUUUCUACGGGCAUGGGCCUUCUCUUWWYUUUGCGGCACUUGUACACUUUGACAAUUAUUUGAGGCAGGUCUAUGCAGGCAUUUUGCCCAUUCCUUUGCACCCUCUUUUUCCCAAGGGUAUCCAGGAGGCACUUGCGAUUGCANNNNNNNNCCUUCUGGAUGUUCUGCGCAAGGUAAUAGUUGUGCAUUUGUACCACAACGUCAACAGAGGUGUUCCAAUUCCUGAAGUCUUUGCCAACCACAAAUCGGUGGCGGAAACACUGGCGCAAAAAGGCACAANNNNNNNNNNNNNNNNNNAGGCCUGGUCAUAUCAAGUGCCGGAUUUAACCCUAGUGCACCCCAUACUAGAUUUUGUUGCCAGCUAUGAAAGGKGGGAGGAGUUAGAAUUUUGCCAGCAGCAUCUUGCCAUGAAACAGGUUGAUUUUGAGAAGAUGAGCCACUUCAGCGCCAGUAGGAUGGUAGAUGUUCGGGAUGGUGACUUCUUCUUCGAANNNNNNNAGGAGGAUUUCUACACCUGGGUGCNNCAAGCCCAUCAGCGAAACCAUCAAAUCGUGGCUCAAGGUCCACCGCAGUCUGGGGCAGUAGAAGAGUACACAGCUCCAAUCCAAGGAGAAGAAUCAUCAGGAGCUGUGGUAGAAGGAAAGUAUGUGUUGAAGCAGAGUCAUGAUGAUGACACCUUCUUUGAGUGUGGAAAUGAUCUACAGGCAUCAGCUAACCCACCUCAGCGUAGCUACCUAUUGGAUGAGCCCUCAGCGUCUAAUGAUAUCUUCGAUUUCACAUCGGAUUCCGUUGUGGAACAGAUGCAACCAGUGGAGCUACAGCAGCCAGCCAUUGUGAGCAGCAAGCAGAAGUUUUUGGCUGAAACUAAAACUUUCUUCUGGAACACCUCAGACUCAGAGGCCACAAACCUGCUCAAAGUGCCUGUUCCAGGCGUGGUUAGCAAGACUUCCAAUCUUAAUGCUGUAGGACCCAACUUGUUGCGUUAUUUUGAUGCAGCUGUUCUCCAAUUUGGGGCCUUUGUCACAGUACCGCGCACUCUAAGCUCGACUGGAGAUCUAAUACUSUUGUGGGAUGAGGGGUCGCUAGUGGAUGCUUAUGGGAAAAAUGUUAAUAAAGCCACCCUGUGUGCUUGCCCUCAUGUCACUGUUUCCGCCCACAGUGCAGAAAGGUGUGGACCCCAGAAGUUCUUGUACUUUGUACCUCUAGGCAUAGGUUCCUUUAUUCCCUUGGAUUUGGGUCAUGCUGGCUCCAAUGUGGGUACCCUAUCUGUGUAUGUGCUGAAUCAGCUCAAAACAAUGAGCACUAUAACACGAUUCACAUGCACAAUCCAGAUCUAUGUCACUGUGUUAUCUUCAAACAUCAUGCAACCUCAGAGAAUGAUAGCCCAGUCUCAGCUUGGUAUGUCCCCGUCCAGGACAACUUUCCCACUGCUCCCCCUGAAACAGUUGCUUGUGUCCACAGAAUGGGACACCACUCAUGAGACAGGUUCUGGCGCUAUGAUGACAUUCUCUCCUG
rnacentral:misc_RNA from 1 species